rnacentral:rRNA from 1 species
AGAGUUUGAUCCUGGCUCAGGAUGAACGCUAGCAACAGGCUUAACACAUGCAAGUCGAGGGGCAGCACGGUGUAGCAAUACACUGGUGGCGACCGGCGCACGGGUGAGUAACACGUGUGCAACCAACCCCGUACCGGGAGAUAACCCGCGGAAACGUGGACUAACAUCCCAUAACACUCUAGAGCCGCAUGGUUCUGGAUUUAAAAUUCCGGUGGUACGGGACGGGCACGCGCGACAUUAGGUAGUUGGCGGGGUAACGGCCCACCAAGCCGACGAUGUCUAGGGGUUCUGAGAGGAAGGUCCCCCACACUGGAACUGAGACACGGUCCAGACUCCUACGGGAGGCAGCAGUGAGGAAUAUUGGUCAAUGGGCGAGAGCCUGAACCAGCCAAGUCGCGUGAGGGAAGAAUGGUCUAUGGCCUGUAAACCUCUUUUGCCAGGGAAGAAUAAAUUGCACGCGUGCGAUCUUGCCAGUACCUGACGAAUAAGCAUCGGCUAACUCCGUGCCAGCAGCCGCGGUAAUACGGGGGAUGCGAGCGUUAUCCGGAUUUAUUGGGUUUAAAGGGCGCGUAGGCGGGACGCCAAGUCAGCGGUAAAAGACUGCAGCUAAACUGUAGCACGCCGUUGAAACUGGCGACCUCGAGACGAGACGAGGGAGGCGGAACAAGUGAAGUAGCGGUGAAAUGCUUAGAUAUCACUUGGAACCCCGAUAGCGAAGGCAGCUUCCCAGGCUCGAUCUGACGCUGAUGCGCGAGAGCGUGGGUAGCGAACAGGAUUAGAUACCCUGGUAGUCCACGCCGUAAACGAUGCUCACUGGAUCUUGGCGAUACACCGCCAGGGUUCAAGCGAAAGUAUUAAGUGAGCCACCUGGGGAGUACGUCGGCAACGAUGAAACUCAAAGGAAUUGACGGGGGCCCGCACAAGCGGAGGAACAUGUGGUUUAAUUCGAUGAUACGCGAGGAACCU